CCUUACUUCCUUCCCUUCCCUCGGCUUCCCGCUCUUGCCUCACUCUCAGCGGCUGCCUUCGCCCCUGUCUGCAGACAGCGCCGCUGGAUGCUCCCAGCUGGACUUCAACCCCACUCCUCUCAGUCCCUCUCCCCACUGCCUUCCAGACGCGCCUCUUCCCCGCCCCGCGCCCCUCUCUCCUCUCCCACCCCUGCCCCUCUCCGCGGCGCUCACCCUCCUCAGUCCCAGUUUCUGAAAGGACUCAGCUGAGAAAGGACAACUGGGUUCCGCUUUCCUUAACCCUACACCCUUUAGCUGGAUGCUGUCAGAGGCGAUGGAGAAACGCAAAGGCUACUAGACGCAACAAUAGAAUUACCAUAUUGUUUUUCCUGGUUUGAAAGGACCAGAUGGAAAGAAACUGGGCAAGCCAAUGAAAGUCUCUGGGGAUCAUGGGAAUUGAGUGUCUAUGAAAACCAUAUUCCAGACAAGAAUAUAGUCUAAGGACACAGCAAGAGGCAACAUUUUGGAAGCAGAGGGCAACUCUCACUGGAAACCAAAUCUCCUGGCACCUUGAUCUUGGAUUUUACAGCCUCCAGAACUGAUAGCUGGGAGGCAUUACAUAGUCAUGUGCGAGGUCAAAACUGAGUCACCACCACAACCAAGUUCCAGCUGGCAAGAAGAGGAAAAAUAACACAGAGGAGUUAUGACCAGUGUUGUAAGGAUCUGGCCUAGAAAUGGCAUGCAUCUCUUCCACUAAUAUCCUAUUGGUAAAAAUGUAGUCACAUGGGCACACCACCUAUCUGCAUGGAAGGCUGGGAAAUGUUGAUCGGUAGGGCAGCCAUAUGUGUAGGAAGGAGAAAACAGAAUUUGGUGGAUACCUAGUAGUCUCUGCCAUACCCUUGACCAGAAAUUUUUCUUCUAAAGAAUUUAAUUCUAAAAGUUAUAGACAUUCCCAAAGAUAUACCUGCAAGCAUCACAGCUUUGUGUAUAAUUGCAAAAGUUGAAAUCAACAUGAAUGCCCAAAAUAGUGAAUUAUUUAAACAGAUUAUUACCCAUAUUAUGAAGAAAUACUCUGCAACUCUUAAAAAUAAAUGUAAUGUGCCAGGCGCAAUGGGAUAUGCCUGCAGGCCCAGCUACACGGGAGGCCAAGGCAGGAGGAUCACUUGAAAUCAAGAGUUCAAGUCUAGCCUAGACAACAUAGUGAGACUUGGUCUCUAAAAAAGAAAAAAAAAAAUAAAACUGAUGUAAUGAAUAUAUAAUUACAACAAAAGAGGUCUAACACUAUAGUAGAAAAGUUUGGGGCACUCAUCCCAUUCAUAAUUAUUUUACAUUUAAAUUACUGUUCCUACUUAAGUGGUGAGCUUGGUAACCAUUUUCAUAUCAGGUGAUACUGCUGCAGUAAUCAUAGCUGUUUGAAUCAGGAAUAAUCCCAAUCACAUUUUCUCUUAAUCGUUUAUUAUACUGGGCAUUGGGGUUGCAAGAUAAUGCACAGUCCGAGCUCAAUACAUGUCUUCAUGUACCUGUAUGUAAAUCCCACUUUUAUUCUAAAAUUCUUUGAAUAUUUUGUUUCUUGGAACCCAAUGAUCCUAAGAAAAUUAUGUACUUUUAC
rnacentral:lncRNA from 1 species